CUUGUUGACCAAGUCACACAGACGUGGUGCCGGUUCCCAUCACCCAAAGAAAGGGGGAGCGUCACAGACUGGGGAUAGGAGAGUAAAGAUGGACACAGUCAUUGGCUCAGCUCCUCCAGUGCGACGUCACACAGCUCACCUAGAUGUCAGCAAGGAAGUAAUUGGCCUGAUUAAUUCCUCGGCUCUUCCAGUCUGACUGAAGGCCGCAGUAGGACAACAGAUGGCUGAUUUAAGGUCAGUGUGAGCCGGGUUCUCCUGUCUGUCAAUCUCCUUAGCGUGUGUGAAUUAGGCCCAGAGAGGAAGCGAACCGACACAAACAGCUUUCCGGCUCAGGUCCAAGGACACAAGAUGACACAGAUGCUCCAAUGUUCCCCUCAACGCUGAACCAAGUGACCCAGAACCCCACAGAGCACAGUCGUCUGUUAUGGCUGGCAAACUGGAGGCUAUGACAGAAAGAGAUGAUGCCUCGUCUUUUAAACGGAGAAAUGGUCUUGGACAGCCUGCUACUGAGUAAAGACACUUUGAUCUGUUUUUUUUUUAAUGUAGGUUUGACUUGAUCUGGUUGUGUCAAGUGAUACAAAAUAGUGCCAGUUGUGGAGAGGCAAUGUUCUGCAGUGAUGAGGUGAGGUCUGGACAGGGAAGACUGUGAAGUAACACCUGAGUACAACAUAUUUAUAUGGUAGCUGUGCUGAAUGUUUCAUUUAUUGGUUUCAUUCAAAAUUGAGUGAAAUUGUCAACAUUGUAAAUUCCAUGUGCUUAUAAAGGUGUAUGUUUGUGAUUAUGAGUUUUGGUCUUAAAGAUACAAUUUUACUGUUGUAGUACAGUGUAACUCUACAGUCUGCACCACACUGGCUGAUUGUUCAUUCUCAUGCAGUGGAAGUGCUGCAGGAAGUGAUGUCACAUUAUCGCCCCCACUUGGAAAAAAACUGCAACUGCAACACAAGACAGCUUCAGUCAGACACCAUGCAACAAGUGAUGUCCACAAA